rnacentral:rRNA from 1 species
AGCCAUAAGAUAACAUUUUUGGUUCAACCUGCCCAAUGUCUAACAAUGAUGAAUGGCCGCGGUACCCUGACCGUGCUAAGGUAGCGUAAUCAGUUGGCUUUUAAAUGGAGUCAGGAAUGAAUGGGAUAACCUGGUCUAGCUGUCUCCUAGCUAUUUUAUUUAAUUUACUGAUCAAGUGAAAAAGCUUGAGUUGUGGAAAAGGGACGAGAAGACCCUUAGAAUUUUUCUAAAAGUGGGAUUAAGUUCUUGCAGUUGUUUUGUUGGGGUGACAAAGAAAUAUAUUAAAACUUUCUUAUUCAACAAGCCGAUUAUGUUAAGUGAGGAUAAAUUACCUGAGGGAUAACAGCAUAAUUCUAUAAGUGAGUUUGUGACCUCGAUGUUGGACUAGGAAACUGGCAAGUUAGCCAUUUGUUGUGUUGGUUCUGUUCGAACUAUAAUUCCU